UUAGUAGUAACUGAAAGCCUGUUACACUCACUGACUAAACAGGUUUGAUUCUUCUGAGUAUUUUUACUCUCUGCUAACAGCAGCAGUUCUUCUGCAUUCUGUGGAGAAGAAAGGGAGCUGGAUUUUGCUUUGUUUCACAGAGUUGAUUUUGCUGUCUUUAAUAACGAAAAAAAUGUUUGCACAAGGGGGGACUGGACUGUGAACAGCCUGGCCUAGUGGACGUUGUCCCUACCCAUGACAAGGCGUUUGAAAUAGAUGAUCUUCAAGGUUCCUUCCAUCUAAACCAGUCUAUGAUUCUACAUAUUCAAGAACUAUGUUAACCAGAGUAUGUGAAACAAUUUUUUCCACAUUACUGAUACAUCUUUAUGGUUCAAUCUGUUCUAUUUUCAGAUUUUUUUCUGGAGGUUGCUACAAAAUAUAGGAGUUACUGAUAAAAUUUUUAAGUAAAUAGUCCUCUAGAAAUUUCCUUUUCAUUUUUGUUUAAAUGGAGGUAUACCCGAAAUAUGCACAAAGUAGUUCCACCAAAAUCAGCCCAGGCAUUCCACUUAUUAUGGCUACACAGCUACACAAAAUGAUCUCUCACUAACUGCAAGAGAAAGUUCUCCUUGUCUGGUAUACUUUUGAUGGCACAAACAUGGCAAAAGAAAUUCUGCUGCUUAUUGUUCAAAACAUCCUUUUUGUGAAAAACAAACAAACAAACCCAAAGAAAUGGAGUUGUGUCCAGCAUGAAGUGAAAAAGAGGGCGUUGCCAGGGAGGGGCACACGAGAACCUAUCUCUGCAGGGGCGUUUCACACAAGCCUUAUCACUGGCACACAUUUGAAUACACCCCAUUCCUGCUCUUUUGUGUGGGCUGGGGUCCCAAAUCAGACAGCACAGAUGUCCUACUCUGUCACAUGUCCAUACUGUGCUUGGGCACACUCAGGAGGGAACAGAAAUCCAUGGUCAAUUAUUUCAGUACUAUUAAUACCUAUUCUAAAGUGGUGUCUGACAGCAAAACUUAGUGCUUUGAAAUCAACUGGUUGGGGGCUCCCAACCAAUGGACUGAUGUCUUUCUAUCACAAGUGCUAUCAGCAAAAAGCAUCCAGGUUGUCUCCAGCACCACUGCUUCCAGCCGUGCAGCCUGGCUCAAAGCUCACCAGCAGGAAGGCUUGUGAGACAGAAAGGCACUUCUUCCUAGUGCUGCUGGCUGCAGCAUAGAGGGCUUUUCAACUUUUUGCAAGUUAUCCACAAAUGAAACAGCCUGCUCUACAAGGACAACUAUCUAGCUGUGGUAAUCAUUGCAGACUGGAAAUUCAGAGCUUGAAGGGGCCUGCAAAGACUUCCUCAACCUUCUUCACACUGCACAGGACAGACAUUGGGUGGAAAACAACAGCAGAAAAGUGGAACAAUGUAUUCACAAGACUCCGAUGUGCACACCUGAGGGAAGAACUGACUCAGGAUUUGAAGGAAGCAACAACUUAAAAAACAGACCUGCAACAUGAUCACGGUCCUGUGUUCCAGUUGCAAGAUCUAGUGAAGAAUUUAGGGUAUUUUCAUAAUCUCUCUUUGAAGGUGUAAUAUCACCUGU